rnacentral:rRNA from 1 species
UACGAAGGGGGCUAGCGUUGUUCGGAAUUACUGGGCGUAAAGCGCACGUAGGCGGAUAUUUAAGUCGGGGGUGAAAUCCCGGGGCUCAACCCCGGAACUGCCUUCGAUACUGGGUAUCUUGAGUUCGGAAGAGGCGAGUGGAAUUCCUAGUGUAGAGGUGAAAUUCGUAGAUAUUAGGAAGAACACCAGUGGCGAAGGCGGCUCACUGGCCCGGUACUGACGCUCAUGUGCGAAAGCGUGGGGAGCAAACAGG